rnacentral:lncRNA from 1 species
GUGAUUGGUCACUUGGGGGCAGCACGUUGUAAACACCACGCGGACGUUUCUUCGCGGUUUAAAGUUAAUAUGGCUAACUAGUUAGCAAACUGUUGCUUAUUUACACUACCGCCAGACACAAGGAAACAUUAACCUGUAUUUGGAGUCGCCUGAGGGAUGAAUACGGGCCACGCAAUCGGAGGGCUGCAAUCUUCUCGAUCAAUUUCUACCUGCGUUCCUCUUUGUGAUGUUUUGGGACACAUUCCAGUCCAAUAUCUACAACGCUAUUUUGGCCGAACAAUCAAAUUGAACGAGUGGGUGAGGAGAGCGGCCACAAGAGGUGGAAAUCAUCGCCUGAGAGGAAGCAGGAAGUGGCUGCUGAUGGCGUCAGGAUCGAGGUGUCGCUCCCUGCCUGGGUGCUCUGCCGUGCCACAUCUGUCCAUCUGUCAAGCAUACAGGCCCAUCAAUCAAACAGCUGAAUGCAGGCAAGGGAGCCCCAUCUGCUGCCACACUGGGGGAUAAGAAGAAGGAUUUAUGGCACACACAGCUUCUCCGAACUUGGAUAUGACUCAGAAAAGAUGGUCCUGACGCUGCCGGCAUGCUGGUGAGAAUGCAUAAUCAGCAUCAUGUGACGCCAAGUCACUGCUUUUACUCCCAAGACUG